rnacentral:rRNA from 1 species
UACGUAGGGGGCAAGCGUUAUCCGGAAUUACUGGGUGUAAAGGGAGCGUAGACGGCAAUGUAAGUCUGGAGUGAAAGGCGGGGGCCCAACCCCCGGACUGCUCUGGAAACUAUGUUACUAGAGUGCAGGAGAGGUAAGCGGAAUUCCUAGUGUAGCGGUGAAAUGCGUAGAUAUUAGGAGGAACACCAGUGGCGAAGGCGGCUUACUGGACUGUAACUGACGUUGAGGCUCGAAAGCGUGGGUAUCGAACAGG